rnacentral:rRNA from 1 species
UACAGAGGUCCCAAGCGUUGUUCGGAUUCACUGGGCGUAAAGGGUGCGUAGGUGGUUAGGUAAGUCUGAUGUGAAAUCUCCGGGCUCAACCCGGAAAUGGCAUUGGAAACUAUUUGACUAGAGGAGUGGAGGGGUGACUGGAAUACUUGGUGUAGCAGUGAAAUGCGUAGAUAUCAAGUGGAACACCAGUGGCGAAGGCGAGUCACUGGACACUUCCUGACACUGAGGCACGAAAGCGAGGGGAGCAAACAGG